AGUGAACGCUGGCGGUAGGCCUAACACAUGCAAGUCGAACGGCAGCACAGUAAGAGCUUGCUCUUACGGGUGGCGAGUGGCGGACGGGUGAGGAAUACAUCGGAAUCUACUUUUUCGUGGGGGAUAACGUAGGGAAACUUACGCUAAUACCGCAUACGGCCUACGGGUGAAAGCAGGGGAUCUUCGGACCUUGUGCGAUUGAAUGAGCCGAUGUCGGAUUAGCUAGUUGGCGGGGUAAAGGCCCACCAAGGCGACGAUCCGUAGCUGGUCUGAGAGGAUGAUCAGCCACACUGGAACUGAGACACGGUCCAGACUCCUACGGGAGGCAGCAGUGGGGAAUAUUGGACAAUGGGCGCAAGCCUGAUCCAGCCAUACCGCGUGGGUGAAGAAGGCCUUCGGGUUGUAAAGCCCUUUUGUUGGGAAAGAAAAGCAGCAGGUUAAUACCCCGCUGUUCUGACGGUACCCAAAGAAUAAGCACCGGCUAACUUCGUG
rnacentral:rRNA from 1 species